UACGUAGGGUGCUAGCGUUGUCCGGAAUUAUUGGGCGUAAAGAGCUUGUAGGUGGCUCGUUGCGUCGGGAGUGAAAACCUGCGGCUUAACCGCAGGCCUGCUUCCGAUACGGGCGAGCUAGAGUUCGGCAGGGGAGACUGGAAUUCCUGGUGUAGCGGUGGAAUGCGCAGAUAUCAGGAGGAACACCGGUGGCGAAGGCGGGUCUCUGGGCCGAUACUGACGCUGAGGAGCGAAAGCGUGGGGAGCGAACAGG
rnacentral:rRNA from 1 species